UACGUAGGUGGCAAGCGUUGUCCGGAAUUAUUGGGCGUAAAGCGCGCGCAGGUGGUUUCUUAAGUCUGAUGUGAAAGCCCACGGCUCAACCGUGGAGGGUCAUUGGAAACUGGGGAACUUGAGUGCAGGAGAGAAGAGUGGAAUUCCACGUGUAGCGGUGAAAUGCGUAGAGAUGUGGAGGAACACCAGUGGCGAAGGCGACUCUUUGGCCUGUAACUGACACUGAGGCGCGAAAGCGUGGGGAGCAAACAGG
rnacentral:rRNA from 2 species